rnacentral:lncRNA from 1 species
AGGAGAAUGGCGGGCUCGGCGGUGCUCAAGGGGACUCCUGGGGGUUGGGCCCCGCGGAACCCGAAGACGCGCGCGGUUGGCUCUGCUCAGAGCACGGCGACCGCGUGGUUGAGCUCUUCUGUCGCCGCUGCCGCCGCUGCGUGUGCGCGCUUUGCCCGGUGCUGGGCUCGCAUCGCGGCCACCCGAUCGGUUUGGCGCUGGACGAGGCGGCGCGCGUGCAGAGUUAACAAGGCUGCUUUCAGAGAUAACAUCUUCUAAUAGGUAGGUCCACCUACCUCUUUUGUAUCCACACACCCAUUCAUUCCUUAGACAUCCAUUCAGCUUAUCCAUGAGUCAAGGAACAGACCAAUUCUUCCCUGACCUGGAGGCGUCCCUUGGCUAGUAGGGGAAGAACAAACAAGUGACAACACAGUAUGAUAAGUAUUGUAAUUGGGGAGCCUGAGGCAGUGGUCAGUGGGAGCCAAAAAGAAGAAGUAUGAACCAGGGACAGGAAGCCCAGGAAGAGUUCCUGGGUGGGGGAUGUCAUUGAAACUGGCCAUGACGAGUAAGUGGGGCUUCACCAAGCACCUAGACAGGAGAGGCACCCUGUGACUGGAGGGCUCAAGCACCGGGAUGCCACAUUAUCCUUGGCUGACAGACAGGAGCUUGACCAGAAGGUUCAAGGGAGGGGGGUGGCGGGGGAUGGAGGAUGUGCUCCUGGAAGAUGGAAGGUGAGCUUAUGGCUUAUCCUUGGGUUACUAUUGUGUUCCCACCCCCAGCGCUCACUCCCAAUCUCCCAUAUAAGCUACACCUACUGAGCAUUUUGUGUGCCAGGCACUACACCAAGCACUUUGUGUCCUCACUCUUUACAGCAACUCUGUGGGGUUGUCCCCGCCUUUUUUUUUUUUGCAGCUGAGGAAACUGAGGCUUAGAAAGGUGAGGCCACUUGCCUAGGUCAUGUGGAAGGAGAGCUAGGACUCAGACCUAGCAGGUCCUGUCCGAGUCUGGGACUUGGGCUCAUACAUAGCGUGCUCCAGCUCUCCACUUGAAGCUGGCAGCCCUGGUAAUUCUGUUCAAUCCAGCAAACACU